CGGCGAGUGAAGCGGCAACAGCUCAAAUUUGAAAUCUGGCCCUUGGGUCCGAGUUGUAAUUUGUAGAGGAUGCUUUUGGUGCGGUACCACCCGAGUUCCCUGGAACGGGACGCCAUAGAGGGUGAGAGCCCCGUCUGGUUGGAUGCCAAACCUCUGUAAAGCUCCUUCGACGAGUCGAGUAGUUUGGGAAUGCUGCUCUAAAUGGGAGGUAUAUGUCUUCUAAAGCUAAAUACCGGCCAGAGACCGAUAGCGCACAAGUAGAGUGAUCGAAAGAUGAAAAGCACUUUGAAAAGAGGGUUAAAUAGUACGUGAAAUUGUUGAAAGGGAAGCGCUUGUGACCAGACUUGAGCCCGGUUAAUCAUCCAGCCUUCUGGCUGGUGCACUUGGCCGGCUCAGGCCAGCAUCAGUUCGGCGCGGGGGAUAAAGGCUUCGGGAAUGUGGCUCCUCCGGGAGUGUUAUAGCCCGUUGCGUCAUGCCCUGCGCUGGACUGAGGUUCGCGCAUCUGCAAGGAUGCUGGCGUAAUGGUCAUCAGCGACCCGUCUUGAAACACGGACCAAGGAGUCGUCUUCGUAUGCGAGUGUUCGGGUGUCAAACCCCUACGCGUAAUGAAAGUGAACGCAGGUGAGAGCUUCGGCGCAUCAUCGACCGAUCCUGAUGUUCUCGGAUGGAUUUGAGUAAGAGCAUACGGGGCCGGACCCGAAAGAAGGUGAACUAUGCCUGUAUAGGGUGAAGCCAGAGGAAACUCUGGUGGAGGCUCGCAGCGGUUCUGACGUGCAAAUCGAUCGUCAAAUAU
rnacentral:rRNA from 1 species